CGGACCUGGGACGCUGGAUCUCGACUCCUGGACUGGCUCUUUCUCUCCGCUGCCGGACCCCGAAUUUAAAUCAGUACAUCUGUCCUCCCCAGGCCAUAAAAGGAUGGUUAACUUCUCUUUCCAGAUUCCUCCUCUCACUGCCUGUCACCACGAGUUAGUUCAGGUGCCAUCCAUUAGCUAGUGACCAGUGACAUCCAUUAUGCACGGCCAUGAAUAUUUAUCUAGUGCCUUAUGCCUGUACCAGAGAGGAUAGGAAAAGAGGAGUUACAAAGAAGCUUUUCCCCCACACCAGAUGACCAGCUCAGCUGAAGAAACCAAGUGGACCCAUCUUCAGUUUCUUCCAUGUGACCAGAGAAGAUGGCCACUUGCAAACACAGCGCCGCACUAUCCUAGUUUGAGAGCCAGUAGAAAGAAAGCAACAUUUUUCUCUAUAGGUGUGUGUCAUCCCAGGCAAGACUUUCCUUGGUCCUGUUCGCAAAAUAGGCUGAUGUUUAUACACGGUGUGCCCAGGGGGAUGGAGUACUGCUACUGACCAUUACUACAGCAUAACUGAUAUCCCAUCAGAAGUGGAUAGAGUGCAGGAAGUA